rnacentral:rRNA from 1 species
CAAUAGCGUAUAUUAAAGUUGUUGCAGUUAAAAAGCUCGUAGUUGAAUUUCUGGCGGGCGCGCCGGUCUCCAAGUGUUGUACUGGGCGCAGUCCGCCAUCCUUGUGGAGAGGGCUCGCAUUGAGUUGCGUGUCGGAUCUGCAUCAUUUACUGUGAAAAAAUUAGAGUGUUUAAAGCAGGCUGUCGCUUGAAUACAUUAGCAUGGAAUAAUAAGAUAGGACUUCGGUCUAUUUUGUUGGUUGCGAACCGAGGUAAUGAUUAAUAGGGAUAGUUGGGGGUAUUCAUAUUUAAUUGUCAGAGGUGAAAUUCUUGGAUUUAUGAAAGAUGAACAACUGCGAAAGCAUUUACCAAGGAUGUUUNCAUUAA